AACGAACGCUGGCGGCAUGCCUAACACAUGCAAGUCGAACGAGACCUUCGGGUCUAGUGGCGCACGGGUGCGUAACGCGUGGGAACCUGCCCUUAGGUUCGGAAUAACUCCCCGAAAGGGGUGCUAAUACCGGAUAAUGUCUUCGGACCAAAGUUUUAUCGCCUUUGGAUGGGCCCGCUUUGGAUUAGCUAGUUGGUAGGGUAAAAGCCUACCAAGGCUACGAUCCAUAGCUGGUCUGAGAGGAUGAUCAGCCACACUGGGACUGAGACACGGCCCAGACUCCUACGGGAGGCAGCAGUGGGGAAUAUUGGACAAUGGGCGAAAGCCUGAUCCAGCAAUGCCGCGUGAGUGAGGAAGGCCUUAGGGUUGUAAAGCUCUUUCACCCGGGAUGAUAAUGACAGUACCGGGAGAAUAAGCACCGGCUAACUCCGUG
rnacentral:rRNA from 1 species